rnacentral:rRNA from 1 species
ACGGGAGGCAGCAGUGGGGAAUAUUGCACAAUGGGGGAAACCCUGAUGCAGCAACGCCGCGUGAAGGAUGAAGGCCUUUGGGUCGUAAACUUCUGUCCUUGGGGAAGAUAAUGACGGUACCCUUGGAGGAAGCCCCGGCUAACUACGUGCCAGCAGCCGCGGUAAUACGUAUGGAGCAAGCGUUAUCCGGAUUUACUGGGUGUAAAGGGAGCGUAGACGGCAAAGCAAGUCUGAAGUGAAAUCCCGGGGCUCAACCCCGGAACUGCUUUGGAAACUGUUUAGCUAGAGUGCAGGAGAGGUAAGCGGAAUUCCUAGUGUAGCGGUGAAAUGCGUAGAUAUUAGGAGGAACACCAGUGGCGAAGGCGGCUUACUGGACUGUAACUGACGUUGAGGCUCGAAAGCGUGGGGAGCAAACAGGAUUAGAUACCCUGGUA